GGGUGGGGACAGUGAUGUCAUAAUGGAACCUCAGGGUAAAACAAGAGAUUGAAAAGCUUCCCAAGGCGCCAACCUUCAAGAUUUAAAGGGAAGUAGGGCUGAUUUAGCUCUGUUCUGGUUCUGUUUCUGCUCAGCAUUCUCAGGUCUAAGAUUCCUGGGUUGGCUUCUGAGAGGGAGGAGACAGCCACCACAGCAAGAACAGCACCAGGAGUUUUAGAUUAAAAAUGGAAAGCAGAGAGUAGGGGAUGAGGCCUGUGGGCUGAGGACUGCCUGGCUCAGAACGGUGGAGGGAGAAGGUCAAGAGGAGGAGGGGAGCCAUCAGAGCUAACUGCCCGUCACCUGCUUGCCUUCAGAAGAUGUGCCUUCCGGGACCUGGUGGAGAGCAGAUGCCAGUGAGGUGCCUGUGGAGAGAAGGAAGCGUUUUCAUGUUCAGCCACACUUCUGCGGUCAUGCAAUUGGGCUCCAGGUGUGUGGCUGUACUGUCUCCACUCCCUGGUGAUUGGAGGAGGCUGAUCACAGGUCUGAUGUGAAGCUUCGGGGCUGCUGGGUUCCUGCUGGUCUGUAGCCAUGGGGCUGGGAACCAGACCUCUGAGACAGGGGAUGGAGUCAGUUGCUGAUCCAGGUAAGAGCUGCUGCAGGCUGAUGAAGCCAUGUUGCUGGUGACGGAACAGGAACAUGAAGUAGACAGGAGCAAGUCAGUUUCUCCCUUCCAGCUUCACAGCCUUCCUUUUGGCAGAACCUGUCUUAUGGCUUGCACAGAAACGGACCCAGCACUGCAGGGCUAAGUACAGUUGUCCCUUGGUAUUCUGGGGGAUUGAUUUCGGAAACGUCUGGACACCAAAAUCUGCAAAUGCUAAAGUCCCUUAUAUAAAAUGGCAUAAUAUUUUGCUAUAAUCUAUAAUAUACUCCUGUAUACUUUAAAUAAUUUUGAAGUUUCUUAUAAUACCUAAUAUAAAUGCUAUGCACAUAAUUGCCAUACUAUAUUGUUAAGGGAAUAAUGUCCACAAAAGUGUCUAUACGUGUUCAAUAGAGAUGAGAUUAAAAAAUAUUUUCAAUCUGCAGUGGGUUGAAUUUGUAGAUGUGGAACCGACGGAG
rnacentral:lncRNA from 1 species